rnacentral:tRNA from 1 species
GGUCGGAUGGUGCAACGGUAAGAUGCAUCGUUGACAACGAGGAGGUCAGUGGUUCGAAUCCACUACCGCCCACCA